rnacentral:lncRNA from 1 species
AUCUCUUUAACAAAUCUCGGUGUUGUGUUCGUGUGAUUGUUCGGUCUUCAGUAGAUCGACUGCACGCCUCAGAUUUGUUCUAACACUCACAUGCUUGCUUUUUUGGUUCGGUGUAAAUUAUAGGCCCAAUUCUUCUUAGCUUAUGAUUCUCCAAAAUCAACUUUUCGAAAACAUCCCCUAGAAUCAUCUGUCAAGUUCUUUUGUGAGAUUGUAGUCUGAGAAUACGGGAUGAGUUGUAUGUUGAAAUAUCCAUAAUGCCCCUAACAAAAAUUGGGUGCUGAAUUGAUAACACUUAGAUGUUUCCAUGUGCAGAGAGGAAUAAAAAGAGAGAGGCUCACCGAGGCAUCAAACAUAGGAUAGUAGCAGCCGGCUGGAUGGGCUCGUCGGGGUCGGCGGAGUAUGGCAACGGAAGGCGGUGACGGCGGUCGGAGCCGACUGCGCGAAGCAGGCUGAGGACUUCAGGGGCUGCCGGGAUGGGGGUCGGAGGAGGCUGAGGACUUCAGCGUGUGAAACUUGUGGUAGCUUGCAAGCAAGCGUCGAUCAUCUGUAUCUCUGUCCCCGUCUCUCAUAUCAUCGACCUUCUUCGCCGGUUCAUCAAUGCACGUGUAUCACCGCCCCGCCCCAUCCAACUUGGCAGCAACACGAAACUCACACGCACCGCCGGCCUGUAUCUUGCUAUGACUCCAGCUGCGCAAAGCUGUGAACCCUAACUGUACAUUACCCCCUUUGUAUCACGAUAUUUGUCGCUAGAAGAACCUAUACUGAUUUCCCCCAACGACAAACGUAUAGGUAUAUAUAGAGGAAAUAUAACACUAUCCCAAAGGCACAGCUGCUCAUUUUCAUUGUUUCCCAUCCUUCUUUGCUACUUUUACCACUUUUUUUUAAUGAGAAUGGAGGGAGUUGUACCGCGAAGAGAAAGCAGAUCAUUUUUAACCAGUAGUAGAUCAAAAGCUACUGCUGAAGAAUAC